UACGUAGGGUGCGAGCGUUGUCCGGAAUUAUUGGGCGUAAAGAGCUCGUAGGCGGUCUGUUACGUCCGCUGUGAAAACCCUGGGCUUAACCCUGGGCUUGCAGUGGAUACGGGCAGACUAGAGGCAGGUAGGGGAGAAUGGAAUUCCCGGUGUAGCGGUGAAAUGCGCAGAUAUCGGGAGGAACACCGGUGGCGAAGGCGGUUCUCUGGGCCUGACCUGACGCUGAGGAGCGAAAGCGUGGGGAGCGAACAGG
rnacentral:rRNA from 1 species